GUUGCUCAAAUCUUCACACACCUCUACGCGGUGAGCAGUAGGCAACGAUCAAUUAUGAUCGGCGAAGAUGUGAAA
rnacentral:ribozyme from 1 species